rnacentral:rRNA from 1 species
UGGGGAAUAUUGCACAAUGGGCGCAAGCCUGAUGCAGCCAUGCCGCGUGUAUGAAGAAGGCCUUCGGGUUGUAAAGUACUUUCAGCGGGGAGGAAGGGAGUAAAGUUAAUACCUUUGCUCAUUGACGUUACCCGCAGAAGAAGCACCGGCUAACUCCGUGCCAGCAGCCGCGGUAAUACGGAGGGUGCAAGCGUUAAUCGGAAUUACUGGGCGUAAAGCGCACGCAGGCGGUUUGUUAAGUCAGAUGUGAAAUCCCCGGGCUCAACCUGGGGGCGGAACCGGAUACUGGAAGGCUUGGGUCCCGAAGGGGGGGGUAGAAUUCCAGGUGUAGCGGUGAAAUGCGUAGAGAUCUGGAGGAAUACCGGUGGCGAAGGCGGCCCCCUGGACGAAGACUGACGCUCAGGUGCGAAAGCGUGGGGAGCAAACAGG